UACAGAGGUGGCAAGCGUUGUUCGGAAUUACUGGGCGUAAAGGGCGCGUAGGCGGUCCGAUAAGUCCUGUGUGAAAUCCCUCGGCUCAACUGAGGAACUGCACGGGAGACUGUCGGGCUUGAGUUCGGGAGAGGGAAGCGGAAUUCCGGGUGUAGCGGUGAAAUGCGUAGAUAUCCGGAGGAACACCGGUGGCGAAGGCGGCUUCCUGGACCGACACUGACGCUGAGGCGCGAAAGCUAGGGAGCAAACGGG
rnacentral:rRNA from 1 species